UGACCACAAAAGUUAGAUGAAAAUCUUGAG
rnacentral:piRNA from 1 species